CCCAAUGAUAGAGGGGAGCUGUCAACUUUGGAAAGCCUUGCCUGAAAAGGCAAAGAUUUGAAGGCUCAGCUGAUGUUAACUUCUCCCCAGCUGUUUCUGCUGCUCAGAGUCUUCCAGGGAUUUAAAAUCCUCAUUCCUGAAGAUAUCACAUGUAAAAAAAGCUUUAAUUGUUCCUAGAGAGCAUCCACAUUUGAAACCCAUCUCAGGCUCGUCUAAAGAUAAGCUGUAGAUCUACACAUACUAAGAAAGGAACUGAUUGGAGGAGAACACUUUUGGGCUGUCCUGGAGGGGUUUCAAAGCUGUGGAGAUGUGGUGCUGAGCGACAUGAUUUAGUGGUGACCUGGCAGUGCUGGGUUAGUGGUUGGACUGGAUGAUCUGAAAGGUGUUUCCCAACGAAAAUGACUCUGAUUCUGUGACAUGCAGUCACCAUUGCCUUGUCUCCAGCUGCAAGGCCACAGUGAGCCAAGUUGGUAUUGACAGAUAAAUCACGAGGGCUUCUCUAAUGGAGCCAGCACUGCUGACCAGGAGGUGUUUGUCUCCCCUCUUGGGUUAUUUUUGUCUGAGUAAUGCACAGGAGCUUGAUAAUGGUUUCAUCAUUUGCUUUGAUUUUUUUUUCUCCCCCUCUCUGUGGAGUUUCUGAAUUGCACAAAACUCACUGAUGGAGCUCACCCCUCAAAACCAUUAAUGCUGGAAGGCACCACUUCAGAUGAGAUGGAUGUCACAAGGAAGCCUUGCUGUGAUGCUUGGUGGGCAUCAAUCACCAACCAGAUGUUGCAAGGGAUCUCAGCAGACAUUUGGCCUUGCCAAGGGACUUGUGGAUAAUGCCAAAAUAGAACCAGGAACUGGGAAGUGCUGAUGCACACAGCUCUGAACCAUCAUAUCCCCCAGCUCUUGACCUUGGUGAGGUGACCUGCUGCUUCCACACCCUCACUCUGCUCUGGCUGCCCUCACCCUGGUAUUAUCGCCGUGAGCCUUUCAUCCCUAAAGCUCUUCUGGCUUGCAUGGACUUCAUUGCCAAAAAUGCCUUUGACAGGUGAAGAUGUCUUUCUUUGAAGUCCUCUUUGCUCUGCAGUUUGCAGCAAAUGCUUCUGUUUGCUCUCCAAGCCUCAUCCCUCUGCCGUGCUCCAAAUAUGCCUUCUUUAAUGAAGACAACUUCUUUAAUUACUGUUUUUCUUUGUGGCAGUGGCUGUCAGUCCCUUGGUCUUUUGAUGCUAUCAGACUGAAAAGAGAAAAUAAUAAUAAUAAUAAAAAGGAAAAAACAAAACAA